UUUAAUGUCCUGCACUAGGCCAGAGGAGAUCUGGGCCAUGGCUGGGACUGGAGUUCCUGACUCCCAGUGCUAUGCUGUCCUGAAUGAGGCAAUCUCUGUUUUGUGGUAUUUUGCUUUUCUUGAUCUUUUCCCAGAGCAAGAAAGGCAGAGUAUUUUGGUCAGAAAGUCUAAACUAACUUCUGCCAAACAUAUUGUAUCCUUGUUGCUGUAGGCAACACAAUUCAACAGUUUCAUAAUUUAGUACUUUUAAAGGUCAAAGAAAUAUCUUUUUACUUGCUAUUCUUUCAUAACAGUUUAUGUAUUUUCAAGUGAGUGCAACACUGUGAAGAAUGAUCAGCAUAUUGCCAAAUGUGAGUAUUUUGUAUUUCAAUGGAAACUUAGUGUGGGAGUUUGUUUUCGUGAUGUCAGUGGAAAAUCUGAAUGUCAAUCUGAACAUACUUUAUAUAAUUUUUCAAUAACUAUUUCUUGCCUGAAAUCUAGAUUUCCCUCUUAGUUCUUUUUAAAAUUACUACAAUUUAGCUUUGCUUCCAUAACUACAAAAAUUCUGUCUUCUAUAAAUGCAGAACUCUGGUAAUUAUUUCCUGUCCCCCACAGCCUUUUAUCUUGUCUUUUUCCCUCCUCUCAGGUUGAAAGGAAACAAAUACAGUUUUUUUCUUAUUGAAUGAAAGGAAAAGAACAUGUGGAUCUGAUCCAGCCUGGCCUGGUGAACACUCUGCAUGAUUGCAGCCAGAGCUUGGGGUGAGACACUUCUCCAAGGAUAAGAGAUGUUCUUUACUGUGCCUUGAGCAAAGCCAGCGUUUCAGGAAUGCCAUCCCUUCAGGCUCCUCUUCCUCAUUGCUAAGGACACCACACUACACACCAGCAGAGCAAAACAAGGGUGGAAAAAGAAAUCAAACAGCAAAUGCAAUUAAUCAGGAGAGAUGGUCAUGCCACAAAAUGCAGCCUCUGACAGAAUCAAUUCCCCACCCCACCCACCAAAAAGGAAACAAUGGGAUGACUUCCAAAGACGGUAUCUACCUGACACUCUCUUUUUAACUCCACCCUGCCAAGCUGCUGAGCUGGGAACAAGGCAUAAAGGGAACCAUGCCAGAAAAACAGGAGAGACAAGAAGAUGUGCUUGAAAAGUCAAAAUUUCUAAAAAGUUUGGUAGAAAAAAGUAUUUGGUUUUGGUCAUCUUCAUGAGGAAGAAUUUAAGUGAGCCAUGGAUAAAUGUAACUCAAAGUAUUUCAUACAAAGGAAAAACCAUACAAAAUUCCAAGCUGUCUCUACAAUAAAUUCAAGAGGAGAAAGUCUGCCUGUUACUAAAACUAAUUCAUGACUUACAAAGCAUCUUUUCUUGUUGAAUGGAUUUCUAUACAUUUCUAAAUCAGAGUGUUUCCUUUACCCCUUUAAUACCACACUGUUUAAAGUACACUAAAUAAACAACUCCCCCUGGAAAGAAACCAAACCACAUCUAAUGUAUAAGUUAAUUUAUGACUUUAAAUAUGAC